rnacentral:rRNA from 1 species
UACAGAGGUCCCAAGCGUUGUUCGGAUUCAUUGGGCGUAAAGGGUGCGUAGGCGGCGCGGUAAGUCGGGUGUGAAAUCUCGGAGCUUAACUCCGAAACUGCAUUCGAUACUGCCGUGCUUGAGGACUGGAGAGGAGACUGGAAUUUACGGUGUAGCGGUGAAAUGCGUAGAUAUCGUAAGGAAGACCAGUGGCGAAGGCGGGUCUCUGGACAGUUCCUGACGCUGAGGCACGAAGGCCAGGGAGCAAACGGGAUUAGAACGGUACC